UACGUAGGGGGCAAGCGUUGUCCGGAAUCAUUGGGCGUAAAGCGCGUGUAGGCGGCCAGGUAAGUCCGUUCUGAAAGCCCGGGGCUCAACCCCGGGAGGCGGAUGGAUACUGCUUGGCUCGAGUCCGGAAGAGGUGAGUGGAAUUCCCGGUGUAGCGGUGAAAUGCGCAGAUAUCGGGGAGGAACACCAAUGGCGAAGGCAGCUCACUGGGACGGUACUGACGCUGAGACGCGAAAGCGUGGGGAGCAAACAGGG
rnacentral:rRNA from 1 species